AGCAGCCGCGGUAAUUCCAGCUCCAAUAGCGUAUAUUAAAGUUGUUGCAGUUAAAAAGCUCGUAGUUGAAUUUCGGGAUUAGUGCGCCGGUCGUGCCUUCGGUAUGUACUGGUGUUACUGGUUCCUACCUUCUGACGAACCGUCAUGUCAUUAAUUUGGUGUGGCGGGGAAUCAGGACUGUUACUUUGAAAAAAUUAGAGUGUUUAAAGCAGGCUCGCGCUUGAAUACAUUAGCAUGGAAUAAUGAAAUAGGACGUUCGAUCCUAUUUUGUUGGUUUCUAGGAUCGACGUAAUGAUUAAUAAGGAUAGUUAGGGG
rnacentral:rRNA from 1 species